rnacentral:miRNA from 14 species
CCUGGAGCCCAUGUUGAAUGCAGAUUCUCAGGCAGGAGGUCGCAUUCUGCAUUUCUAACAAGCUCCCAGGUGUAGC